rnacentral:rRNA from 1 species
GUCCACGCUGUAAACGUUGGGCGCUAGGUGUGGGGAUCUUCCACGAUCUCCGUGCCGGAGCUAACGCAUUAAGCGCCCCGCCUGGGGAGUACGGCCGCAAGGCUAAAACUCAAAGGAAUUGACGGGGGCCCGCACAAGCGGCGGAGCAUGUUGCUUAAUUCGACGCAACGCGAAGAACCUUACCAAGGUUUGACAUCACCCGGAAACGUGCAGAGAUGUGCGCCUCUUCGGACUGGGUGACAGGUGGUGCAUGGCUGUCGU